rnacentral:sRNA from 12 species
AAACCGCAUCCGUAAGUCCUGGACCGGCUGCUCUUGCGUAAGCAGGUGAUACUCCGUCUCUGAACGGUGAGAAUCGGCCCCCAGGGUGGAGCGGUUU